CUUUAUCUUUGACACUUUGAUCCCUCAGCAUCUUUAGGAGUUUAUAUUCACAGCAAUUCUAUGUGCAGGGUUUUCAAAUCACCGCCAUUAUAUGAAUAAAAAUCCAACUUGGUUUCUUCAUAGACUCCCAGAAGCCCCUCACACAACAAUGGCCAAAUCAGCUUCAAAAUGCCUCUUCUUAUUCUUUCUGUCUUUCCUCUUUAGCUGUUCAUCAGGAACUCUGGUAGGUUUCUCCUACCAUGUUAGCGGAAACACUACAACUUCAUCACCAAGUAGAACAAUAUCAUUUCUGAAGCGAAACAAGAUUGCCCCAUCUCAGAUUCGCGUCUUUGUUGAAGAUCAUAGAAUUUUAAGAACUCUGUCCAACACUGGUGUAGCUGUUGAUCUCUACUUGAAUGAGGCCCUUGUUCAAAAUAUCAUAAAUUCCAAAUCUUCUUCAAUCUCAGGGCUGAAAUCCUAUAUAAUGCCCUUUCUCUCACAAGUAAAGAUCAAAAGCAUCGUAGCAACUAGUGGUGACUAUACAAGAAAAUAUGCUCUCUCCGUGCUUUUAUCGACCCUGAAAUCUAUACACUCAGUCCUCUCUAGUUUACCUGCUGACCGCAGAAUUAAGGUCUCGGUGGCAUUUCCUUUGUCAUUUUUAGAGAAUAUGAGCACCUCACAUGGAAGAGACCUGCAUAGGAUCUGUGACUACAUCACACAAGUGAAAUCUGCUGUCAUUGUAGAAGCCAAUAUUGAUGGAGAAUUGAGUAUGGGUGAAAGUUUUGUCCAUUCGAUGAUCGAAAGAGCCAGCCUUGCAAAUUCUCUUCUUCCUUGCACUGAUGUCCCCAUGGUUUUGACAGUCAAGAGUCCAGCAGUUCCCAGUGCAACUGAAGUAGCUGCAUUCGCCGAUAAGGUGUCCAAAGCUUUAGAAACCAACACUCACAUUAUAAGUAGCAUAGUUGGUCUAUAUGCACAAGUAUCUUCAAUGGAAGAUUUUGCACACAAAGAGAUGAAAAGAGCAGAAGAACAGAUCUUUCCUUCUUUUCGCCGAGUACUCUCAAGAAUCUUCCACCUCAAGACAACUUUACAUGAAGCAGAUGACUCACCAACAAUCUUCCCUACAACUCCCAUAUCCACAACACCACCAGUAUCCACCACUCCAUAUAUUCCUACCCCAACUAUUGUCACUGUCCCCUCUACAAACACAGUACCAAUAGCUCCAUUGAAUCCUAUACCGUCCACCACACCUAUUACUGUGCCCUCCACAAACCCUGCGGAUUCACCAGUACCAGAAGCCAAUCCUACCACAGCACCCCCCAUCACAGUCCCAGGGAAUCCAGUAAUAACCAACCCUGUCACAACUUACCCGGCACCAGCUGGAGUCGUUCCUGUCACGACACCUGUCACGAAUCCUGUGGCACCUCCUGCAACAAGUACUAAUGCACCUGCAGUUCCAGGACAGAGUUGGUGUGUGGCCAAGAGUGGAGCAUCGGAAACAGCAGUUCAGGCUGCUUUGGACUAUGCUUGUGGAAAGGUAGACUGUUCACAGCUCCAGCAAGGUGGGAGUUGUUACAAUCCAACUACUCUCCAAAACCAUGCCUCAUAUGCAUUCAACAGCUAUUAUCAGAAGAAUCCAGUUGCAACUAGCUGUGACUUUGGAGGAGUUGCCACAAUAGUUACUACUAAUCCAAGCAUUGGUUCAUGUACUUACCUAUCAUCGUCGUCGUCGUCAUCAACACCAACAACUCCAUCUCCUCCGGCAUCAACAACUCCAUCUCCUCCAGCAUCAUCAACUCCAUCCCCUCCCGUAUCAACAACUCCAACUCCACUGCCAGCAACAACAACUCCUCCAGCACCAACAUUUACAUCAUUUCCACCACCAGGGGAAGGUGUAUCAGGCUCUGGUACUCCACCCCCUUCAGUUUUAAAUUCAAGCAACCCAGCAGCUUCAGGAACCAUGCCACCAUUUGGGCUCGACAGCCCUCCUAGUCUUAACACAACAUACAGCUCAACAUCCUCAUCAGCUAGCUUGCGGCCCUUUGUUAGUUACAUCUUUUUGGCAACAGCCUUGGUUACUAGAAAAAUCGUUCUUAACAUGUAGAAGUAUAACCUCCUCCUCUCCCUGUAAGGUUACUUCUAUCUGUUCCAGCCUUGUAAAUAACUACGUAUGCAAGCAAUGAAGGGAAGAAAAUAGAGGAAGCAUGUUCUGGAUGAAAGCAAACUCUUCUACAUCUAAAUUGGGCUGCUAUGGGAGUAUGAAACUACAGUGUUACUCGUUGAGGUUGGGAGCAUCCCUCUGAGGCUCCAAUUUGUGACAGUUCUUCACCUUCCAAAGUACACGCCGAUGAUAUCCAUAAGCAAAAGCAUGCUCACCCAAGAUAUACCCUCAUAAGCUCCUUGGUACCUUGCUCCUACGUCUUUCUAAACAUGUCAUCCAUCUCAGGACAUGGAUGAGAUGUUCACAAAGAAAAAUGGACUCAGGAAAGAUGAUACUCCUGAAGAAUGUGGAGGACCCGUGCUAAUGUUUCUCUGUGCUUGAAGGAAGGUAAGAACAACACGUUAGAACCAACAAGGAGAAAAUCAAAUUCAAUAAGCUGAAGUGUGUACAUUAUGCAAUGUAGGAAUCAACGAGAAUGAUAGAGGUGAUGGAUAAUCACUAUUACUAGCGUCACUAGGGCAGUUCUAAGUACACUUAGCGUGCACUCAAAAAGCACAUUCCACCAUCACAAGAAUGGGACAUGGGUUAUCCGGUUGCUAAGCUUAUAGACUCGAGGAAUCAAUCAAAGAACAAUAACCAAUAACCUACACUCAAAUCAAGUAGCGUGAAUGAUCCACUCUUCUUUUUCUUUUUCUU